AUUUGUAAUAUAUAAUACAUCUCAAUACAUGUAUUCCUCGCUCUUUUCACCUUUUUAAUAUCAUCUUCUUCAUUUCUCUCCACCUUUUCACCAUUUCUCAUCUUCUUCUUCCUGUUCCCCAUCUUUCAUAGAUAACAUCGCUUCUUACACACUUUCUUAUCUUUGAUUUUGAUUUCUUAUCUUUGAUUUUGAUUUCUCUGGUAACCAUCGACUUUUCCGAUGAUGAAUGGGCGGUAUAGAGCUUCCAACAGACGAGUCCGGCCUCUAUCCCGUUUCUUGUCUUGUGUCGUGUCGUGUCGACACGGGUACGUUGACAGGAAUAGGCGAGUCGGAGUAACACAGCUAAGCAAUGAAGAAAGUGCUUCAAAACUUGUGAUCUGUACUUGCUUGGAACAGAUUUGGAUGGAAAUAUUACUUCGUCUCCCCUGCACACUUCUGUCAAGUUUCACCAGGACCAAAGACAUCUGUUGGUUGUACAUGAAAGUUGCCUAACCUCGAGCGCUGCAAGCAGUAGAUUCCCGAGGAAUUGAUCGGCGGUGCUGCAUAUUCAUGUGAUGGCCAGUCCAUAUAUGCGUGCUUUCUUAACAGGCACAUUGUUUUGUUGGACUCGGCAUCAUUGACCAUAAAGUUUGUUAUCAAUCCGAGUGCAUAUUUACCUUCUAAUCAAAGCCCGGUGAUGUAUGCUUCUCCUCUUGCGGCUAAUCCUACAAAACACAAUCAGUUUGCUCUCGGGCUUAGUGAUGGUGGCGUACUAGUUAUAGAAGAAGAGGAUAUUAGGAUUGCUUUGUAGAACGCCUUAGCUUGAGACCAGCAACAACUGAGAACUUGAUAUGAGCUUUUGUGAUAAUCAGAGCCCAGUGACUCUUGAAAUCUAUAUGUUUUAAAACAUACAUCUAGGGAUUGGAUUAGUGCAAGGGUUUUGAAGGUGUUGUCUUACUUGACUAUGCUAAGUGGUAAAUUUUCAAUGCAAAUAUACACGUACA